UUUAUUAUUUCAAUCGACAUUUUCUGCAUACGAUUCGUACGUUUAUGUGUUUGCGUGUAUCCGUCACGUAUAUACGUAGAUGUUCAUUAUGCACGGUAUCGCGAUUUUCGAUAAUUCAAUGUAUUAUUAUCGGUAUUUGUCGAGCCGAUUUAAUCGAAAUAGCUUCUCCGAUUACUUAUUUAAAUCAAAGUACAAGCCCGCCGGCGGCGUAAUAAUAGAAGGCACGAUUUGCGCGAGAAAACAAUGGAAUUAAAUUCAAAACGAAAUGUUGACCCAAACUUUAUUCCGACACGCGUGCCCGUGCGAAUAACUUCAUCUCUUUCUCUCUCAAUAUUUUUCUGAUCGAUCGGUUUGUACCCGCGAAUCAAUUGGCCGCGCACCCUUUUUCGUUCGUACACCCUAUGAAACGGGAGUUUUAAACGCGGCGUAAAUUUUUAAUAACGCGUCGACAAGUUUUCUCGUUUCCUCGCUAAAUCGGACAAAUAUUCUCUACAUUUUUCCAGCAUUGAAAUCUUGAACGUAAGCAUCAAAGCGAUCGUUCAACUAAAAAUUGAAUUUAAAUAAAAUCGAAACAUUUUUCUACACAUGUACAUAUAUAUAUAUAUAUAUAUAUGUGUGUGUGUGUGUGUGUGUGAGCGUGCAUACGAGAAUGAAAGAGAGCGAGAGAGAAAGAGAGAGGCGAGAGAUGAGAUGAGAAAGGUGGACGGGGGGUUAAGGGAGAACGAUAGGGACUCGAUUAUGUCGGGUAAUUGCGCCCGCGUGUUCCUGCUCGCUCUCCCUUCUUCUACACACGUUGGUUUCGAGUGGUUAGGCGAAUUGUGGCCGAUGCUUUGUGAGAGUAGACACGAGACGAGAGGUGAGUGCGGGACGGGGAUCGAGGUAGAGGGGAGGGAGAUCGACGUGCGCGUACUAUCGUUUCUGUUUGCGUGCGUGAGUGCGUGCGUGCAUGCGUGAGCGAGCAAGUACGUGGGCGUACGAAGAAACGAUGACUGGAGGGGACAGGGUGGCACGGCUCAUCUACGAACAUCAGAAAGGGAAGCAUCCGAUGCGCAUCUCGAAAGCGUGCCGUUGACAAGAGUCCUAUCGUUUAUAACGCGUCAUCCCUUAAUCGUGACUCGACCAAAUUUCUUUCUCUUUCUUUCUUUCUUUCUUUAUUAUUCGUUUCAUUACUACGGCGUACUAUUUACAAACAAAAAAAGGAAAAGAAAAAAAAAAAAAAAAAAUGAAAAAUAAAUAUUUAAUCAAUACGUAAUUAUUAUUCAGCGCUGACGUGGAUCAAACGUAACUCAUUAAGAAGAAACAUGUGUAAUUUUGAAUUUCAAUUAAAACGUUCAACGAAUUUACAAAAGUCCAUUGUGCAAAUGCAUACAUGGACAUGGACGGUAUGUACGUCCCUCGAAACUCGUCGAUUAUAAUUUUUUCCAAAUCAAGAGGAUGGAGGGGUGAGGAGGGGGAAAAAAAAGAAAGAAAGAAAAAUCAUAGAUAUAAGCGAGAAAAUAAAGAGAUUUCAAAACAAAAAUUGUUGAAUAUUUCUAAUGGAACAGUAUGAAAUACUGAAAAAGAAUUAUAAAUCAAAGUAAUAGGAAAUGAAUGAUGCUAGGAAAUGUGUCUGUUCAGUUAGCUCGUUAAAAAAAAAACAAAGAUAGAGAGAGAGAGAGAGAGAGAGGAAAACAGCGAGAAAACGAUACGGUUUGAGGGGUGAGAGGAUCGAACGUGAAGCUUAUCGCAAGCCGCAUCGUGGAAUAAUGCGCAUAGUGGAGGGUAAAUCGAAAAUCAUCCCUCGACCGUAUCUCGUUGUUCUCCUCUCACCCUUGACAAGCACGAGUCUCUCUCUCUCUCUCUCUCUAUGGACACCAGGCGCGUACGCGUACAUUCGCCGGUGUUUACCGCAAUUAUUAAAUGUAAACUCAUAUUUCGUAAUUGCCAAAUAUUGGCGGUCCGAUCAGCCGCGACCCGAUGCACCUCGCGAAUGCUACGGGUCCACCACUGGCGUUGCUGCUGCUACUGCUGCUCUUGCUUGCUCGCACGCGCUUUCCAUCCCUUCUCAAAUAACAAUCCUUCCCAUGCACUCUUCUCCACCCUUCUCUCGCCCUUCCCUUCAGCGAGCCACGCGAGCUCCACGCACUCACACUGCCGAAUCCUCCGACGAAUUAAGCCCACCACCCCCGACCCCAAACCCAAACUCUCAACCUCGACCCAUCCCUCUCAUACGUUGAAUCGAUAAGCGCCCGUGCGAGAACCGAUCCCGAGGAACAAUGGGACUCGAUAGUUCUUUCGAUUAUUAUACCAGGAUCGAUGAUACUCUCUCCCCUUCCCACGCCGCGCCUUUAUCUUACAUUCCAAACAGAUCAUUAAUUUUAACCAUUAAUAUCUCAAUAUUUUUCCAUAUUCGCGAGGAAUAAUAAAGUGUAUUUUUUUGUUUGCUUUCUCUCUCUUUUUUUUUUUUUUUUUUUCUUCUCAAUUACUCUUUGCGAACGGAUUCUGAUCGUUAUAAAUCAAUUUUCAUUCUUUCCUUUUCCUACCCUUUUUCUAGGCUGAAAAAAGAAGUGAAAAGAGAAAAAAAGAAAAAAAAGAAAAGCGAGAGAGAGAGAGAGAGAGAGAGAAUAAAAAGAGACAUAUCUCGCUGGGUGAGUGUGACGAAGCGUCGAUUAAAAAACCGGUCGAAGCGUAACGGGCAAUUAUUUACGAUUUAAAAACCACCGAUGUAAAGUUUCCGAGAGUCUCUGGCAAAACUGGCUGGCGACCGAGUGAGCGAACGAGGGUUGUCGACGGAGUGGCGUCAGCUUGCGUAACUAUCGGUAAUUAAUCAGAAUCAUCCUCGUAUAUCGUAUCCGUUGCCGUAGUGGGAGACCUGCGAUGGCGGUGACGGUGACGUUGAUGCUGCUGGUAGUGGUAGUGGUGACGACGGUGAUGGUGGUGGUGCUGACGACGAUACUACUGGACCGUACCGAUGCUGUCGGAAUUGAAGGUGAGGGGGUAGUUAACCAGUGACGUCACGCUUACGGCGACAUCUGGCUCGGCACUAACCACCGGACGACACUGCAGGACACUGGACACUACCCUCCUAUAACGCUAACUCCGAAUCAAAAUUACCCUUGCCGGAGGUACGAGAGAAUCUACGAGAGAGAGAGAGAGAGAGAGAGAGAGAGCCCGCACACCGGCUGCUUUCAAUUAAUUCUAUCUUUGACACGUAUCACCCGAUCCAUCGACCUUUAGAUUCAACACGAUACUAUUCUGCCACAAAACUAACGAAUAAUAGUGCGUCAGAUAAAUUCCAAGAAAGAUGACAAUUUAAACGAACGAAGUCGGAUACUUCGGGACAACUUUUCUCCGUCGUGUAAAGCCGGCUUUGCGUACACGUCCCUCUACCAAACGUGGCUAUCAAUUGCGGCUAAUCCUUCGUGGAGAUAGCGGAGAAACUGUUGUCUCCGCGUUUUCCCUAACGAUUCUACGACAUUUCCUCGAUCUUCGUUAAGCAGACAAAAAUAGGUUGUUCUCGUAGGAACAUGAAUAUGGCCGAUGGACAUUUCGUGUCCAGCCAAACCGCAGGAGCGGUCAUGUAUAUUAGAUACCCAAUUCCGGCGGUAAUCCAGCCAUAAAUAUCUUUGAAUUAUAUUUUCCAACGAGUUGGACGGCACCACGGACGAUUUGCUCUAGGUAGUGGCGCGAGCAUGUUUGGGGAAAUGGUGAAAUUGGGGAGAGGCGUGUAUGUGUGCGCGUGUAUUUAUAUAUAUAUAUAUAUACAUUUAUGAAAGAGAGAGAGAGAGAGAGAGAGAAAGCGACCAGGCGGGCUAUUUAGCUGUUAAUCGCUCAAUUAAAUUGGAUCGCUCGUAUUAGCUUUUAAUCCCAGCGCAUCGCACUGUUGGUGCUAUCGCGAGCACGAGCCCACGCAAGCCGUUUUCGAAAAAUCAAAAUGAAAUUUCGCUUCGAACUCGAGCCGCGGAGGAUCGUCUCGGAUAACGUCGAAUUCCGAGGGAACGUGAUUCCGUUUACGCGCUCUCGCUUGCUACCACACGCGCUUGUAUGCGUAAGAGGAAAUAAAAUAAAUUUCUGUUUCGUGGCUCGAAUAUCGUUUCUCUCCUUCGUUCUCUUGUUUAGCUAUCCUACGAGUUAACGUUCAGAGAUAGAGAAAUUAUUUCUCUUUUACUUAGUAAUUAUCAACGUAUUCGUUGAUUCGAUGAAGAUAAUUUAGUUCAUUAAGACGAACGAGUAUGAAUUUUCCUUAGUAUACGGUAAAAGUAAUAAAAAGAGAAAAAGAAAAAAAAGAAAAUACUUGAUAUAAAAAUGAUCGGCUACGAUUUGUUUUUAUUCAAAGAACCGAUCAAUAAUUAGCGAGUAUAAAUUCGAAUCGAUGAAAAAGCUAAAAAGAAAGUAUUUAAAAGGACGUAAAAUUCAAUAGGGUGUUAUCCUUCAACCGCAACAACUAAAUGGAAGCAUCCAAGGGGUUUGUUAUAUGACAGAGGCUAAUCUAAUCUCAUUUACAUCGCGCUACGGCCGCGGGAUUGACGUUCAUCGAAAUAAAUCCAGACGGCCGUCCGGGCCGAUAGUAGUCGAAUGCGAGCGCAUGUAAAUCGAAGCUUUCCUCCCCGGAACAAAUCGAAUGUCGGUCGAUGUAAAUGAAUUCCAUUCUAAUUGCAAUUAUGCGACACGAACGCGCGCAUAAAUGUUCAGCCGUUAUACGAUAAAUGACACGUCGCUCAUGGCGGCUCGCGCGAACUCGCGAGGCGGAUUCGUCCGUCAUUGCGAAUUUAUGAAACGACGAUCGUUAAAUCCAUUUCGAACCUUCCACUCUAUCUUCA